GAGCCAUGAUGAAACUUGUGCUUCGUGGUGAUGGUUGGGUCCGUCACUUGUCGUCUGAUUCACCGGACGAUAUCAAAGCGCAUCUGAGCUC